CCUACGGGUGGCAGCAGUGAGGAAUAUUGGUCAAUGGACGAGAGUCUGAACCAGCCAAGUAGCGUGAAGGAUGACUGCCCUAUGGGUUGUAAACUUCUUUUAUAUGGGAAUAAAACAUGGUACGCAUACCUUCUUGUAUGUACCUUAUGAAUAAGGAUCGGCUAACUCCGUGCCAGCAGCCGCGGUAAUACGGAGGAUCCGAGCAUUAUCCGGAUUUAUUGGGUUUAAAGGGUGCGUAGGUGGGUUGUUAAGUCAGUUGUGAAAGUUUGCGGGUCAACCGUAAAAUUGCAAUUGAAACUGGCAGUCUUGAGUACAGUCGAGGUAGGCGGAAUUCGUGGUGUAGCGGUGAAAUGCUUAGAUAUCACGAAGAACUCCGAUUGCGAAGGCAGCUCACUAGACUGCAACUGACGCUGAUGCUCGAAAGUGUGGGUAUCAAACAGGAUUAGAUACCCGAGUAGUC
rnacentral:rRNA from 1 species